GACUUGGGCAGGAAGCACUCUCAGGCAUUUCCAGCUGAUUUCCCGCUAUGGCUGUGCCUUCAGCAUCAGCACCAGCAGCAGUUCCAGCACUUCCUUCCAGCCCAUUGACAGGUGCUGCCAUUUUAAAUACUUUCUACGAAUCAUGAAAAAGGAGCCUUAUAGAGGUAUUGUGUUGGCAAACAAACUUCUGUUUCCAAGAACCUUUCCUUCUAUUCCCCGAGGGUGGAGUGUUCCCUCCACCCCGUUCCAAAAGGGAGGAAGGAGAAGGGGAAAUGCAGCUGCUGUUUUCAGCUUUUCAAAGAGCGGCCCCUGGUUUGGACCUUGCACGGAGAAGGAGAGAGAAAUUGUACUUGUCCCACCCGGACUGGAGAGUCAUUUAGAUGGGGUGGGGUGGGGGUGUACAGCUGCUCCCAGUGCUAGUGGGAGUUGAGAAUCAUGGGAUUAUGAAAUAGUUUGGGUUGGGAGACGACUGAAAGCUCAUGUCAUUCCACCCGCUGCCAUGGGCAGGAGCACCUGCCACUAGAGCAGAUUGUUCGGGAGUCUCGUUUAUCCUUUGGCACGGGGCGGAGCGGGGGCUGGAAGGCAGCAAGGCAGGAACGAUGCUUGGGACUGCAGGCAGCGCCACCUACAACUCCCAGAAGCCUCUGCGGGAGAGCCCGGCACCAGCAGCCAAUCGGAGCCCGCGCUGCCGCGCUAUAAAAAAUGGCCGCGGACGGGUUUCCUCCUCUUUCUGCCAUGGUGGCGGGCUGGGGAGGGUCUGCGGCGGCCAUCGGGAACCAUCCACCGCCAUCCGUCGUCUCUGGGGCUCUCCCGCCACUCGGCUCCGCCGCAUCGGCGCCCUGUGGGCAUGGCGUCCGGCGGCGGCGUUUCGGUGCGCUUCGAAGGCUGCGAAGGGCAGCGCGGCCUUGCCCCCGCCCUCUUCCUCAGGCCAGGCCCGGCCCCGGCAUCCUGGCGUAGAAGGUGAUCCCGGGACAUGGGAUGGCUGGUGACAGCCUCAGCUUUGGGCAG
rnacentral:lncRNA from 1 species